AAGUAGCUUGCUACUUUGCCGGCGAGCGGCGGACGGGUGAGUAAUGUCUGGGAAACUGCCUGAUGGAGGGGGAUAACUACUGGAAACGGUAGCUAAUACCGCAUGACCUCGAAAGAGCAAAGUGGGGGAUCUUCGGACCUCACGCCAUCGGAUGUGCCCAGAUGGGAUUAGCUAGUAGGUGAGGUAAUGGCUCACCUAGGCGACGAUCCCUAGCUGGUCUGAGAGGAUGACCAGCCACACUGGAACUGAGACACGGUCCAUACUCCUACGGGAGGCAGCAGUGGGGAAUAUUGCACAAUGGGCGCAAGCCUGAUGCACCCAUGCCGCGUGUGUGAAGAAGGCCUUAGGGUUGUAAAGCACUUUCAGCGAGGAGGAAGGCAUCACACUUAAUACGUGUGGUGAUUGACGUUACUCGCAGAAGAAGCACCGGCUAACUCCGUGCCAGCAGCCGCGGUAAUACGGAGGGUGCAAGCGUUAAUCGGAAUUACUGGGCGUAAAGCGCACGCAGGCGGUUUG
rnacentral:rRNA from 1 species